rnacentral:misc_RNA from 1 species
AUUCAUUUUCCAUUGAACGUGUUAGCUAUAUAAUGCAGAAACACCUUUAUCUGUAUAUUUAUCUCGUUUUUGGGACAUUUGGUAUAUCUGCGGAUUGUCCGGACAACUGGAUACGUUUUGCAGACUCAUGUUACUUGUUCAUGACUCGAUACCCAAUGCAAUGGAUUGAAGCAAUGACCUUCUGUAAGACUUUCGAUGCCAAACUGGCAGAAGUGGAAACCGCUCCAGAGGACACGUUUUUACGUCAUGAAGCAAAUGUCUACAAAGCCUUUGAAGAAUCGUUUUGGAUCGGCGGUAGCGAUUUGAUUGCGGAAGGUAAAUGAAGGUGGAUGACGAGCUACACUCCAGUCCACUAUACUAACUUGGACGAUGGAGAACCAAACAAUAUAAAUGGAGGAGAACAUUGCAUGGACCUGUUAUUCUAUACCAGCCGUCACUGGAAUGAUGAACGAUGCAAUACCGUUCUUCCAUUCAUUUGUGAAAAAGAGACGAGCUCUCCGGUCAUUGGAAUGUUGGUUGGAUAAUGCUGUGAUGAACACGACAAUCUAUUAUCACAUUGAUGUUUUUUGAAUAAAAAAGAAAACAUUC